UCCGGGCUCUUCUUCACGCCCUUCUUCCAGACGCUCUCCCAGAGGCCGCCACUUCCGCCCGGCCGGACCGGAGAGGGGGCCCCGGCUCGUCUCCAACGCGCGCUGGAGGCCGACGUCCGGGAUUGAGUGACUUGGAGGAAGUGCUAGGUCUGGGUCUGUGACUGCAACUCAGGGUGACCUUUCCAGUAGAGUCUGGCAGGUUUUUUCCCAACGACUUAUUUCCUCCAGAAAGCACCCUCUGACUCCUGCCUACCGGGCCGAGUGACAGCACCGUCUCCACCCCAGCUUCUCUCUUGCUGACCUCAGGACACUAGUUUCAGAGCAGUCCUAAAGUCCUCACAAUGCUAGUGCCUAACUCACGACCCUCCUGACAUGGAGAGAGACAGAGCAUGAGAGGGGGAGGGGCAGAGAGAG